rnacentral:rRNA from 1 species
GACGAACGCUGGCGGCGUGCUUAACACAUGCAAGUCGAACGAAGUGGCGAACGGGUGAGUAACGCGUAAUCAACCUGCCCUUCAGAGGGGGACAACAGUUGGAAAGGACUGCUAAUACCGAAUACUGAAGGAGUGGAUUGCGUCUGAUUGGCUAGUUGGGGGGGUAACGGCCCACCAAGGCGAUGGUCAGUAGCCGGUCUGAGAGGAUGAACGGGCACAUUGGGACUGAGACCCGGCCCAGACUCCUACCGGAGGCAGCAGUGGGGAAUCUUCCGCAAUGGACGAAAGUCUGACGGAGCAACGCCGCGUGAUAGAUGACGGCCUUCGGGUUGGAAAGCUCUGUUAAUCGGGACGCGGUACCGGAAUAGAAAGCAACGGCUAACUACGUGCCAGCAGCCGCGGUAAUAC